CCUACGGGCGGCAGCAGUGAGGAAUAUUGGUCAAUGGGCGCAAGCCUGAACCAGCCAAGUCGCGUGAGGGAUGACGGUCCUAUGGAUUGUAAACCUCUUUUGUCGGGGAGCAAGGCCCGCCACGUGUGGCGGGAAGGAGAGUACCCGAAGAAAAAGCAUCGGCUAACUCCGUACCAGCAGCGGCGGUACUACGUAGGAUGCGACCGUUAUCCGGAUUUACUGGGUGUAAAGGGGGGGCAGACGGCAGCGCAAGCCAGGAGUGAAAGCCCGGGGCCCAACCCCGGGACUGCUCUUGGAAGUGCGCGGCUGGAGUGCAGGAGGGGCAGGCGGAAUUCCUGGUGUAGCGGUGAAAUGCGUAGAUAUCAGGAGGAACACCGGUGGCGAAGGCGGCCUGCUGGACUGCGACUGACGUUGAGGCCCGAAAGCGUGGGGAGCAAACAGGAUUAGAUACCCGAGUAGUC
rnacentral:rRNA from 1 species